GCUGCUACAGCUCAAUUGGAUAGAGCAUCGGGCUCUUACUUGCACUAGGCAUCUGAAGGCUGUGAGUUUAACCCUCAUGGUGGGCU